rnacentral:rRNA from 1 species
AUGCGUGGCAACUACUUGUGGCAAGAUAUAGUUCUAGAAAAAUAUGUUAAGAAUAGAAGUAUGGGUAAUGUUUUGGCCAAACAGGGAGAUUCACAGUUUUGGAGGGAAAUACUAAAACACAGAGACCAUUUUGUCUCCUUGUGUAAGUUUAAAAUUGGAGAUGGUAAAAGAGCUCGAUUCUGGGAAGAUUGGUGGAUUGGCAAUGCUCCAUUAAACAAGAAAUUUCCUAGGUUAUAUGAUCUAUGCUUUGAUAAAAAGAAAACAGUUAAAGAAAUUUUUGACAAUAGAUUAGAUAAUGUUCAGUUUAGAAGAACUUUACUAGGAGAUGCAAGAGAACUGUGGGGGCAUAUUAAAGAGGCAUGUAGUGUGGUGACAUUGAAUGAGGAUAGAGAUGAGAUAAAAUGGACUCUCAACAAAAAGGGAGUCUAUACUGUUAAGUUCUUCUAUAGACACCUGAUUGAAAACGGGGUCAAAUAUCCACAUUUGUAUAUGUGGAAGAUUAAGAUGCCACCUAGAAUCAAGGUGUUCAUGUGGUUGGCCCUUAGAAAAAGUAUUCUCACAAAAGAUAAUUUGAUUUGUAGGGGUGGAAGGGAGAUGAUAAAUGCCCUUUUUAUGGGCAAAAAGAGAACAUAA